rnacentral:rRNA from 1 species
UACGUAGGGGGCUAGCGUUGUCCGGAAUCAUUGGGCGUAAAGCGCACGCAGGCGGUCUGCUAAGUUUGGUGUGACAGUUGGUGGCUCAACCACCAAAGUGCUUUGAAAACUGAUAGACUUGAGGGCUUCAGAGGGACACGGAAUUCCGGGUGGAGUGGUGAAAUGCGUAGAGAUCCGGAGGAACACCAAAGGCGAAGGCAGUGUCCGGGGGAGUACCUGACGCUCAGGUGCGAAAGCCAGGGGAGCGAACGGG